UGCAAACAAAAUAUGUGGUCCUCUUAUCUAUUACCAUUCGUAUGCAGAUGGCUCCGACUGGAGGCCAUAAAGCAGUGCGGCUGAGGGGGUGGGCCCUGCAGCCAGCCCCCGGGGUUUCUAUCGGCUCCACUAGUCACCAGCCCCUGGGCCCCUGGGCGGGUUCAGCACUUCAGAUUCCUCCUCCACAACAUGGGAACUACCCUAGGGAUUUCUCAAGAGGUGAGGGUUAAAUGCACAGAUCUAAAAUCAUCAGCAUGAGGUCUGCCACGUUUUUAAGUGUUCAAUAAAUUUAGCUAGCCAGGACAUGUCUCCUGAGUUCCAGACAUAACCAGCGAAGUUCUUCAAUAAACCAAGCUGACUUUUUCUGAUAAUCCAUUCGGCAUAUGAAGUUCUUUUGCAAAUGACAUAGAAUGCCAGAGGAGUGUGGAACCUGUGAUGAGACGCCUCUCUCGGCUGUCGAUCAGAGUACCCUGUUGGAGAGAGAGCUCCGAGCCUGGGCGACAAGGCAGACAAGUUCACCUCUGGGUGCUGUUACGUUGGUGAGCGAGCCUCAGGGGAGAGGAUGCCAUUUCCGGUGGCAUCUGGGGCAAAUGACUGGAGUCAGCAUUUAUUCUCUCGCAUUAGGAAGCGGAAGCCUAAUGACCAAAGUUUUAGACUUUGGUAAAUAUGAAACACAAAUUGAUGGUGGAACUGAGGCUCUCAGAAAGCUUCAUGGAGCAGUGCAGGGACCUGGGGCCCUUCUGACCAGUGUCAUCUUCCCUGCCCUCUCGAUGGGAGGCCAGACAGGGCCUACUGCCAUUAUCGUCAUUCGUAAAUUACUUUGCUUAUUUUUAGAAGGCUUUUAAUGCACAUGGCACACAACUUCAAAAGAGUGACAUCCUUCAUAAGAAUGAAAAGUGGUCUGAUUCUGGAUAUAU